AGUCAGGACACGGCAUGGACAUGAGGGUCCCCACUCAGCUCCUGGGGCUCCUGCUGCUCUGGCUCCCAAGUGCCAGAUGUGACAUGCAGAUGACCCAGUCUCCAUCCUCCCUGUCUGCAUCUGUAGGAGACACAGUCACCAUCACUUGCCGGGCAAGUCAGAGCAUUAGCAGCUAUUUGAAUUGGUAUCAGCAGAAACCAGGGAAAAUUCCUAAGCUCCUGAUCUAUGCUGCAUCCACUUUGCAAAGUGGGGUCCCAUCAAGGUUCAGUGGCAGUGGAUCUGGGACAGAUUUCACUCUCACCAUCAGCAGUGUGCAACCUGAAGAUUUUGCAACUUAUUACUGUCAGCAUGGUUACGGUACCCCGUACACAGUGUUACAAGUCAUAACAUAA